AUGGUUGCACUGUUAUCCCGGGUGGUCUCUCAACGAACAGGUCCUUACGAAGAGGUACUCGAGAAACAGCCCGAGUCCCCUUAAAUGCCACAAGUAUAUCAUCAUAUCCAGAAUAAAAUCAUAGUAUCAUCAUUGUAUCUCAUCAUGUUCAUUGAUUAAAGUAAAGCGCUAGCAUGUAGCUAACCAUAGUAACCCAAAAGGUAAAUCAAGGACAAGGUAAUUAGAGCUAGUAAAUCCUUAGGUUGUUCAUAGUAUGCGGGACAGUGUAUUAUAAAGUAAAUGGGACAUAAUGGGUCAGAGGACACUUGCCUUCACCAAACAGAUGCUCAGAGUCUUCAACUUUGUAGGACUUGAAGAGCUUGCUCACUUGGUCACCAAUGUUUGACCGUCGAUUCCUCGAAGCUCGGAAACGAAUCGCGAUCUAUUCGCGACGCAUAGCGAAUACAAACAAGAACAAACAAACAAACAUAUAUAUAUACGCAUAAGAACAUUACACCAUACAAGAUAAAAUGUAAUAAAACAUGCAAUACGAAAAGGAACGCGUUACUACGGUCACGCGAGGAAAAAGAAACGCGACAGUCGAAGCUACGGUCGAGAAGUUAUCGCGUUUACGCUAAACGAAUAUAAAAUAGGACAUUUAAUUCGGUGUUAUCAAAUAUAAAUUAUAACUACUAUUUAAUUAGAGCGAGAGAUUCUAGGCGAGACGAAUUUACAAUGCGCGAAACAGUACAGCAGCGUGUAGACGACGCGCAGACAAGCGCGACAAAGCACACGAACGCCCCACGAGACAGUGCGCGCGAUGAGCGCGAACGACGCGCGAACCGGCACGUCACCACAUGUGGAAUAACACGCGCGAUAGGCGAGAGACUAAAUAGGUGACGCGUUUAUACUAAACAAGUAUUAAUAAGAAUAUUUAAUUUGAUAUAAUUAUAUUAAUUAGCAUUUAUGAAAUAUAGAUUAAAGCUACUUAGUUUUGACUAACUUACUGUUUUUAUUGUGGAUGAUUAAAUAAAUAAAUAAUUAACUGACAUGAGUGAUUAUAAGCGAAUAGUUUAAUCUCGCGCGCGGACAACGCGCGAUACAUGCGAACGGCGCGGCAAGGCGCGCGACACACGCGAAUGGCGCGCGGCAACACGUGCGAACAAUACGCGCGACACUCGCGAGUGAUGUGCGACGAAGCGGACAAACAACGCGCGACGACACGCGCGGCAGCGCGCGAAACGACAUGCGGCAACACGUGAAACAACAUGGCGCGUGAACGACACGCAUGACACGCGCGAAGCAACGCACGUGACACUCAAGAAUAACAUACUGAUGCCAUGUUUAUACUAAGAAUCUAUUAAUUUAAAAUGGUUGAGUUGACAUUAAUCAUAUUAAUAUGUAUUUAAAAAACAUAAAUUAAAACUAUACAUUAGGUUUAAUUGGAAGGUCAUUUUUAAUAACUACCGAACGAACAAUUAAUUAAUUAGUUAAAUAAACAUGUGUCAUGACCAAAUAGUACUUUCAACGAGUAUACAAUAUUAUUGCGAAGUUGACACAACUAAAACGAGUCGAAAUGAGUUUACGAUGCAAAAGAUAUUGAAUACUUAAUCAGCCACAGUUUACGACGAUCUGACGCAAUUCUAUUGGCUGAUGGCUUACCACACGGAGAGCCACACAAAGAAAAGCCACAAAGCAUCCUGGGAUCUAGCUAGAUCGUGGUGCACUAGGAGAUUGAAACGUGGCCAUGAAUCAUGGGAAUAGACUAACGGUUCCCUUUUCUGGCUUCUUCAACCCACGAACACAUAUUUUCCUCUCUCCUACACCUUUGACGGAACGAGUGAUUGCAAAGCACGGGGGUCGCAUGGGAGGCAGGGCACGGCUGGGUGGGCUCGCCGGCGAGCGGGGCUUACGGUGGCGAUUGGGCGCGCAGGGGCUCUGCCCUGGCCGUUGUGCCUGGCAGCAGGCCGGCUGUGCCGUCGUGCCGAGGCUGGCGGUUCGGUCAGCCAUGGCCGCGAAGGGCGUUGUAGGGAGGGGUUGCGAGGGUAGACGCACGACCACACAACAGAGAGAGCGAGGACGGCUCAGCCGACUUCGCCGGGGAAGCGCGAAUGACGAUGGAUCGCCAUUGCCACAGCUCGGACGAGGCAAAGAAAACAAAAGAGAUGGCCACGCUCUGUACUUCUCACCUUGCGACGAACUCGAUGAGGGAGAAUCACGGGCGUAGCCUUCUCCGGGCAUGGCAACGCGUAGCUUGGCGGCGAGCGCGACUCCAGGACUGCUAUGCAGUUGAACUGCAGGGGGCUUGAAGACCGAGCAACGUGGGCGGGCCAUGGUGGAGUGGGGGCCAGUUUCCUUGGCGUUCGGAUGCACGGGGCUGAGGCAGUUGUGAAGGGGGAAGCGAGGAG
rnacentral:lncRNA from 1 species